AUUUGUGCGGUGAUGAAGCAUAUAUUGUGGACUAGAGUUUCUGAUGUUGGGCUCUUCUUCCCAUUUCUUUUGACGACAAACCCUUGGCUGUCUGAGCACCAAUUAUCAAUCUUUAUUUUUUCUCCAAGUUUUCUUAAUUUUGUAAAAUAUUUUCACUCAAAUUUUGAUUGUUUGUAAAUUAGGUUAAGAGCUAAUGAUGAGAAAUACAAUUAUCUUAGCGGAUUUCGGUGAGAUUUCUUUGAAUCAAUGAUCUGAUUGUUACACACACUGAAGCUCUUAAUAAUUUUUUUUUAAAUUAAAUGGGAUGUAAAUAAUAAUAAUAAUAAUAAUAAUAAUAAUAAUAAUAAUAAUAAUAAUAAUAAUAAUAAUAAUAAUAAUAAUAAUAAUAAUAAUAAUAGCAGUGAUGAGGUAAAACACAUGAGGCUGUGUUUAGGGAAGUGGACAAGACGAUUAAAACCGUUUUGCCGUGAUCCCCAAUUUAAACGACUUCUCCUUCCACUGAGCUUU
rnacentral:lncRNA from 1 species